CACGCCGUAAACGAUGGAUGCUAGGUGUGGGAGGUAUCGACCCCUUCCGUGCCGGAGUUAACGCAAUAAGCAUCCCGCCUGGGGAGUACGACCGCAAGGUUGAAACUCAAAGGAAUUGACGGGGGCCCGCACAAGCAGCGGAGCGUGUGGUUUAAUUCGAAGCAACGCGAAGAACCUUACCAAGGCUUGACAUCCCUCGCGAACCGUAGAAAUACGGAGUUCCCUUCGGGGACGAGGAGACAGGUGG
rnacentral:rRNA from 1 species